rnacentral:rRNA from 1 species
GCAGCCGCGGUAAUACGGAAGAUGCGAGCGUUAUCCGGAUUUAUUGGGUUUAAAGGGAGCGUAGGCGGCCUUUUAAGUCAGCGGUUAAAUGUCAUGGCCCAACCUUGGCAUGCCGUUGAAACUGGCGGGCUUGAAUACACUCAAGGCAGGUGGAAUUCGUCGUGUAGCGGUGAAAUGCUUAGAUAUGACGAGGAACUCCGAUAGCGAAGGCAGCCUGCUGGGGUGCGAUUGACGCUGAGGCUCGAAAGCGCGGGUAUCAAACAGGAUUAGAUACCCC